CCGGGUGACCGGAUGCCGAUCUCGAAAACCUGUCCCAGUUCGGACUGGAGUCUGCAACCCGACUCCACGAAGUUGGAUUCGCUAGUAAUCGCGCAUCAGCCAUGGCGCGGUGAAUACGUUCCCGGGCCUUGUACACACCGCCCGUCAAGCCAUGGGAGCCGGGGGCGCCUGAAGUCCGGGACCGCGAGGACCGGCCUAAGGCGAAACUGGUGACUGGGGCUAAGUCGUAACAAGGUAUC
rnacentral:rRNA from 1 species